rnacentral:lncRNA from 1 species
GGCUGCUGUCACCUUAUCCAGCUGGGAGGGGAUAAGGCUUGAACAACACAGGCUGUUUGACCACAGGCUUCCCCCUGCUUGGUGAAUGUAUGGAAAAACAUGGUCGAAAGAUGUCAGCGAUCCCAGGACCCUCCUGUGAGUUUGGCAUAAUGUGCGGCCCGGCCCAGUCCCCCGUCCACACUGCGCCCUACCCUGAUGGCCAUCCUCUUUCUGCCUGCACCUGCUCCUGGGAUGCUCCGCUGCCCCUGACCCCACACGCCCUUGGAAUGUGCUGUCACCCAGCAAGGUCUGGCAGGUGGGGUACAGAGCACGGCACUCGGACCAUGCUGCGCAGCUGCGUCUCUGUCUGCCGCUGUGCAUCUCUGAAGAACGGCUCCUGCUGAAUUCCUGCUUUGCCGAUUUCAUGUAAGUUCUUCUAACUACAUUCC